GAGUAUGUAUCUCUGCAUUAAUGCAAACCUUUCUUGUUACUGUUCUAUUAUGUCUAUCUCGACUAUUUUGUUCUACAUUUUGCUAAUUUAAGCAUUUGCACUUUUGUUUCCUUUGCUUGAUUCAGGUGCUGCCUCACUGUGAAGGUAAAGUUCUGUCUAUUCUGGCAUUUGAAUACAUUUUCCGAGCUGUAUCCAACUAUUUUAUAGUCACUUAGGUGUGUGUUCUCUCAGACGGGGUUUUGUUUUUUUUUUGCAGGGACUAACACACUGUCUUCUGUCUAUUCUGGCAUUCGAAUUCGUAUUCCGAGCUGUAUCCAACUAUUUUUUAUAGUCACUUAGGUGUUUGUGUCCUCAGAUGGGGGUUUUUUUUUUUUU
rnacentral:lncRNA from 1 species